GGAUCAAGUAGAUAUUGCGGUAC
rnacentral:siRNA from 1 species